GACGAACCGUGCGAACGUUAUUCGGAAUCACUGGGCUUAAAGAGCGCGUAGGCGGCAUCGUAAGUUGGAGGUGAAAUCCUGACGGCUCAACCGCAGAAUUGCCCCCAAUACUGCGAUGCUUGAGUGAGAUAGGGGCAUGUGGAACUUCCAGUGGAGCGGUGAAAUGUGUUGAGAUUGGAAGGAACGCCGGUGGCGAAAGCGACAUGCUGGAUCUUUUCUGACGCUGAGGCGCGAAAGCUAGGGGAGCGAACGGGAUUAGAUACCCGCGUAGUCC
rnacentral:rRNA from 1 species